GCUUACGGCCAUACCACCCUAAGUACGCCCGAUCUCGUCUGAUCUCGGAAGCUAAGCAGGGUCGGGCCUGGUUAGUACUUGGAUGGCAUUCCGCCUUGGAAUACCAGGUGCUGUAAGCU
ensembl:rRNA 5S_rRNA 5S ribosomal RNA